CUACGAAAGGUGCAAGCGUUGUUCGGAUUUACUGGGCGUAAAGAGAGUGUAGGUGGUUUAUUAAGUCGGAUGUGAAAUCCCGGGGCUCAACCUCGGAACUGCAUUCGAUACUGAUAGGCUAGAGUUUGGGAGGGGUAAGCGGAAUUCCGUGUGUAGCAGUGAAAUGCGUAGAUAUACGGAGGAACACCUGAGGCGAAGGCGGCUUACUGGACCAAUACUGACACUGAGACUCGAAAGCGUGGGUAGCAAACAGGCUUAGAAACCCUAGUAGUCC
rnacentral:rRNA from 1 species